rnacentral:rRNA from 1 species
CGAGGGGUAGUAUAGCAAUAUAUGAGACCGGCGCACGGGUGCGUAACGCGUAUGCAACCUACCUUUUACAGGGGAAUAGCCCAGAGAAAUUUGGAUUAAUGCCCCAUAGUAUAAUUGAAUGGCAUCAUUUGAUUAUUAAAGUUCCAACGGUAAAAGAUGGGCAUGCGUCCUAUUAGCUAGAUGGUAAGGUAACGGCUUACCAUGGCUACGAUAGGUAGGGGUCCUGAGAGGGAGAUCCCCCACACUGGUACUGAGACACGGACCAGACUCCUACGGGAGGCAGCAGUGAGGAAUAUUGGACAAUGGGCGCAAGCCUGAUCCAGCCAUGCCGCGUGCAGGAAGACGCAUCUAUGGUGUGUAAACUGCUUUUGUACGGGAAGAAACACUCCCUCGUGAGGGAGCUUGACGGUACCGUAAGAAUAAGGAUCGGCUAACUCCGUGCCAGCAGCCGCGGUAAUACGGAGGAUCCAAGCGUUAUCCGGAAUCAUUGGGUUUAAAGGGUCCGUAGGCGGUUUAAUAAGUCAGUGGUGAAAGCCCAUCGCUCAACGAUGGAACGGCCAUUGAUACUGUUAGACUUGAAUUACAAGGAAGUAACUAGAAUAUGUAGUGUAGCGGUGAAAUGCUUAGAUAUUACAUGGAAUACCAAUUGCGAAGGCAGGUUACUACUUGUGGAUUGACGCUGAUGGACGAAAGCGUGGGGAGCGAACAGGAUUAGAUACCCUGGUAGUCCACGCCGUAAACGAUGGAUACUAGCUGUUCG